rnacentral:rRNA from 1 species
GGGUGGAGUCGCAAAGUGGUCCGUACAGAUUCAACCGUUCGAACGCCGACUACGCGCAGAUGCGACGCGCACUGGCUUCGUCGUCCGUCGGCGCCGAUCGGCGCACUUCUAUACGGACAGCGUCACGACCGAUUCGUCUCGGGUCAUAAGCUUCGAGGGAAGGUGACUCCUAGCUUGCCGGGAGUGUUAUAGCCCGCGAUAGCGUCGGCCCGAGACGGAUCGAGGAAUGGCCGUACCCGCU